UUUUUUCUCAUUAAGUAUCUAUUGACAUGAAAGCAAAGAAAAUUUGAGAAUGUUCCACAAGAGGGCAAACGUUGCAAGGACCCAGAACAAAGAGUUGUAACAGCCUUGUUGGUAAAAUUGCUCAACUGAACAAUCUUGGCAAACAGCAUUCCGGAACAUCUUUCAUUUUUCCAUGACAUUGUCACAUGAUCAGCCUAGACUAUUGACAUAGACUAACCCAAUCUAAACAUCUUCCUCUUUUCUUCAAACACAAGGCUCCUGUUCUGACCAGUGCAGUGUGCCUAAUCAAUUGGGAUAAUUAAAUAUGACAAGGGAUUACACAUAGUAAUAUGAAGUACCAGGUCUGGAUGAAACCUCUUGCUGUGGGCUGAAACCAUCCAAUGAAAUUACUCUUGUACAGCUCACCCAAAAACUGGUUUCAUAGUGCUUGAAAUCUUUGCAGUCUUGUCGUGUUGGCCAAGUAGUCAUUAUCCCUACUUAUACAGCAAACCCGUCAUAGACUUUGAACUGCAAAAACAAUGACUGUAGGGUUCUUGAUGAGGUUUGCCAUUAAAUUAUUUUGGCAUCAAUUACACUACCAAAAUUAAACAUCAUGGCUGAACUGGUGACUCCAUAAGUCAGUCUACUGGGCUUUACUUGGACAUAAUUGCUAUUGACUUGAAAAUUGUUUGUUACCCAUCUCCUUCACUAAAUACUUUUCAUUCCAGUCGAAUCCAAUCCCCAAAUGACCAGAGCUUCAUUCUUAUAACCCCUUUCCUUACAUAGAUUUACAUUUCAGUGACUUGUAAAACCCCUUUAUUCAUACCAAUGAUGAAAUACCUAUUCCAUUUACGUGAAAGACUGGAUCCAAAUACUUUUUUUUUGCUAUUUCUAUUGCAGUGUAGACUUUUUCAUCUUGUUUAAAUACACCACAUGGUUCUUCGAAUAUGACACAUUAUAAAACCAAAGCUGUAUUUACGCAAACCCCGUUGUUAAACGUAGUUUUAAAGACAUUUCUUUAUUCACUACAGAGUCAAUAUCUCCUUGUUGAAUUUCUGAAGAAAUCUGAACUAUUAAUAUCCUGAUUUCCUGCAUACUUAAAAAUGCCACUAAAGUUGUGAAAUAGGUUUUGUACAUUUAUUUAUACAGCUUUACAAAAGAGGAAUUAAUACUGGCUAAAAAUUUCCUCCUCCUGUCAGAAAAUUCUUCCUGUGUUGAAUGAUAUUUUAUAAAAUCUGUACUUUUCACUUCCUUAAUAGAGGAGAGAGAGAGUGAGUGAGUGAGAGAGAAAGAGAAAUGAAAGUGUAGUAAAACAUUAGAGAUUAAUCCAGCUUUUGAAUACUGUAAACGUACUUUUUUCCACGUGUUCAUAAGUCCGUGGAAUCACAAUUUCUGUUUAUUCCGCGGGUAGAAAAUAGGGCGGAUUUCUUAGAUUGCCACUUAAUGUCUUUCAUUUACUUUAAAGUACGCUGGGAUAAAUUUCCGCGGAAAAUUUGUGACCGCGUACAUAGCGUAAAUUAAUACCGUGCGGAAAAAAGUAUUUCUACAGUAUAUACAUAAUGAAAAUAUUCAUUAAGGGGAAAAUAUAAGAAUUUAAAAAACAUUCCGAUACUUGUUUUGACACAAUUUUGUCUUCGAUGGUUGAAUCUCCAGCUGCUGUUAAUGACCAAGUCCUCCUGAUCAGUUUUGUCAGUUGUAAAUUGUACUAUUCCAAUGAUCAUCAUGUAUUACAAAGAAACCUAUAAUCAUCAUUUUACAAAUAAAUUUCUUCUCUUCAAUUUACAUGUAUAUCUAUUCUCAUUUUUCAAAGAUUGUUCUUUAAUAUAUAUAAUAUCUCAUUUUCACUUUCCAAAGAUUUUUCCACUUUGUUUUAAAAUGUUCCAUUUUCAAUGAUAAUUAGAGACUGAGACAUCUCCGGGUAUUAACAUUCACAUUUGAUAAAACCACUUUUACAGUAGACCUCAUCAUACUCAAUUAAUAUUUGUAUUAAUCUAAGAAAAUCCAGCUGUCUCACAAAAUCAGAAGUAUAUAUUCCUUUUAAUUCAAGUCCCUUGGAGCACAGCAAUUUGGGUUUGUGUGUUCUUGUGAGCUCUCAUGUUAUUGCAAUUGACAAUGAAGAGAUUGUUCAGAGAAUCUACUGUUACAAAUUUUGAAGAGCUUUGAUGAACAAUUUGAUAGGAGCUGAAUUUUAAUAAUAAAAAAGUAUAGGUAUCAUUUGUAAGUAGACUAUAAAACUCUUUUUCUGAUGUCAACUUUCUACAGCGAUCCCUAUUACAUAACCAAAUCUGUUUAUAUUUCCUACAGAAUCUUUAACCUUUCAAGCACAUAAAAGAAUUUACUAAGGUAGAAAACGUUAUAAUUCAUUACAAAAACAAUUAGAAAUAAUUAACAUGAAGCCAUUAAUUGAUAUUCUUUCUGCAGCACAGUUAUUAAUCAAGUAAGUAAGGCAGCUAGCGCUAAACAUUCACAGCUGCAUCAAGUGUCUACAAAGUUCACUAUUUCUAAUUCAAUAUUUUAUCGAAUCACGGAUAAAAUAUUCAUAAACACCAGAACUCCCGCUCCUAGCCUAUGAAAAACAAGACCCUAUACAUUGCAUUAACUUCUAAAAAUCAAUGAUUUUCCUAUCACCUAAUCCAGAAGGGUUAUCAACCCUGUGUUUUCACAUUGGUCAGGAUAUACCACAAUAGAAUGUAUUCAAAAAAUCUCAAAAUAUCAACUGAUCAUCUCAUUCCCCAUGAGAUACAGAGAUGGUGGCUCAAAUAUAUCACAGAUGAAAAUGGAGAGGCUCGGGUCUAAAGCGAAUUUCCUCACUCAGGUGUCUCAGGUGAUUAGGUGAAUAUUGCGGAUCAAUGUUGGGGGUUUAGAUUUCACUAUGAUUGCACGCUCAUACAGCUUUUUUUGUUCCUAUAGUUUUUGAAUUGGUCUUUAAAAUCACAGGCAAUAAACAGACACGUCAAAAAUGCAACAAUAACAAGUAAAGACUGUUUUCUUUAAAUCCGGGAUUAUCUUUGUAAUCUCUUAUACUGAUUUUUUAAUGGGAUUUUUCACUUGAGAGGGAAUAAUACCGAUUAUUUCCUUUAAUUUUUGGCAAGGAAAUAAUUGUAAUUGCUGAACAGGAAAUCCAAGUGCUACCAGUUUUCGAUACUCUACGAACAAUAAUCACAAGUGUACCCGAUCGUUAGUGCUCAUUAAUUAUCAGCUGUUCAUAAACAGCAACCACAUCCUGGGCAAACUAAAAAAAACAAGACUUGUCACCACUUGUAUACUUCCUUUAAACAAAAUAUACAUGCUAUUUAUGAACCUCCUAAAUUACAUGACCAAAAUUCAAACAGGUACCAUUUCUGAAAUGGAAUAUCAAUCAACGUGAUUAACCAGGUCUAAUUUCUCAACAAUACAAACAUGACAUAGGGUGGGCAACCAUGCUUACCCAAAAUAUCCUGUCACCACAUCCUCAAUGUGGAAAUGUCCAUCACUAGAAAUUGUUUUUCUUUAAAAAGGUUUUUUUUCCCUACAGAAAUCAGGUAGACGGAAAAUGGUUUUAACGAGAUGCCUUUCCCUGACGCAUACCGGCACUUUUACACAACCUUCAAUAAUGUUCUGGAAACGGAAAAUGAUGCCAUUAAGAGCUGGAGCAUCUACACCGCUGAAAGCAUGCAGGAUCAAAUAUUACAACACAAGUCAAAUGUGUGAUUGCUUCUAGUGAAUGUUAAUGCGCAUGUAUUUUCUUUCUCAUUUGGUCACGUGUGUAUCACAUAGAAUUAUCUACCUGUGCAAAUCUUUUUCUCCAAUUGAGGAAAAAACAAAACCAUUACUUCCUCUCCUCCUCUGAGAAACCCUAUCUGAUUUUUGCCCCCUAUUUUUCAACAAGAUUAAAUCAGCAUUUUGUUAUUCAUUUCAUUCCUUUCCGACCCAUUAACCACUACACAUAAGCAGUCCUCUAUAUAAAACCAAACACUAUAAGCCCUAAAAGUACAGACCCGACGACAUUUUUCUUUUGUAUUUCUUUUUACCCACAAAUCAAUGGGAGAAGGAGAGAGAUUGAGAUCACAGUUUUCAAUUUGUGAUCCAGAAAUUGUUCUCCCUCCAAACCUCUGCUGGUCAACUGGCCCAGGUAAUGACACUGACCACAUAAUAAAGAGUAGGCCUAUACAUGGCUAGCCAAUGUCCUCGAGUGACCCCAAAUGACCACAGUCUUCUGGUAAUCCCGCCAGUUGGCUAUGUAUUUAGGUCAAAUAUCCCCACUAUACUUCAGUCCAACUGAACCUCAGUCAACCAAUCAAAGCACACACUUACCUUCCUAAAUCAUUGUCUGAAAAUCUCUAGUGCCAGUGGAAUCACCAUGUUACAAUGAAUAGUCAAUCUCACUUCACUUUGCCAUGUCUUUCUCUCUAAAAGUGUCUUCAACACACU